rnacentral:rRNA from 1 species
GUGGGGAAUCUUGCACAAUGGGCGAAAGCCUGAUGCAGCGACGCCGCGUGCGGGAUGAAGGCCUUCGGGUUGUAAACCGCUUUCAGCAGGGACGAGGCCGCAAGGUGACGGUACCUGCAGAAGAAGCCCCGGCUAACUACGUGCCAGCAGCCGCGGUAAUACGUAGGGGGCAAGCGUUAUCCGGAUUCAUUGGGCGUAAAGCGCGCGUAGGCGGUCUGUUAGGUCAGGAGUUAAAUCUGGGGGCUCAACCCCUAUCCGCUCCUGAUACCGGCAGGCUUGAGUCUGGUAGGGGAAGAUGGAAUUCCAAGUGUAGCGGUGAAAUGCGCAGAUAUUUGGAAGAACACCGGUGGCGAAGGCGGUCUUCUGGGCCAUGACUGACGCUGAGGCGCGAAAGCUAGGGGAGCGA